rnacentral:sRNA from 1 species
ACACAACAUGCAGUUUACAAGCUUACAUC